GACGAACGCUGGCGGCGCGCCUAACACAUGCAAGUCGAACGAGCGAGAGAGAGCUUGCUUUCUCGAGCGAGUGGCGAACGGGUGAGUAACGCGUGAGGAACCUGCCUCAAAGAGGGGGACAACAGUUGGAAACGACUGCUAAUACCGCAUAAGCCCACGGUGCCGCAUGGCACAGAGGGAAAAGGAGCAAUCCGCUUUGAGAUGGCCUCGCGUCCGAUUAGCUAGUUGGUGAGGUAAUGGCCCACCAAGGCAACGAUCGGUAGCCGGACUGAGAGGUUGAACGGCCACAUUGGGACUGAGACACGGCCCAGACUCCUACGGGAGGCAGCAGUGGGGAAUAUUGCACAAUGGGGGAAACCCUGAUGCAGCGACGCCGCGUGGAGGAAGAAGGUCUUCGGGAUUGGUAAACUCCUGUUGUUGAGGAAGAUAAUGACGGUACUCAACAAGGAAGUGACGGCUAACUACGUG
rnacentral:rRNA from 1 species